GAAAAAACAUGAGACAGAAAGACCUGCUCUCAUUACACAGGAAGGAAAGAAGAAGAUAAAGAGACAUCUCAUUUGCUGCAGAUGGUCCCUCAAGAUAAUGCUUAACAAUGCACUGAGUGAAACGUCUCGUGCCAACCCCUGUUCUUUCCCCCUGGACCAUCACGGCCAUCCUGACAGCAAAUCAUUUGUGUUGGUUUCUCCUGGGAACCUCCAAGGCUUCUUGAUGGAAAAAUGGAGUAGAAGAAACUGUACCUUUAAAUUCUCUUCCAUUUUAUACCAUUCUGCACCUUGCUUUUCCAGUUAAUAAGUGUUUCAUAUUAGUGCUUAGAGAUCUUCCCUGUUUGCCCCCUAUGCCUCCAAAGUCACAUUGUGUCAACAUGGACAGUCAUCUACCUGGUCUGUAUUUCUGCUGUUUCUAAC
ensembl:lncRNA